rnacentral:hammerhead_ribozyme from 1 species
GUCCAGCUGACGAGUUCCAAAUGGGACGAAACGCGUGUCCUGGAU